CACACAGUAUGUCGCUCGCUCUAAAAGACAGUUGUCCUUCAUCACACCUGCGAUUAAUACAGUGGGCUACGUACGGCGCGAAAGAAGUUAAACAUAAAUCCAGAGAAAACCCACACAUAUGAGCACCAUAACACUACCCACGUAAAGAUCGAAUUGAUUUACUGUCCUGCCUUCUCCAUGCAAGCCAUUGUGAAGUCUUACCUGAAUGACUGUCUCCACAUCUUCACAGCCACUCGGGUGUUGGUCUUGUGGUCACGGCAUUUGAAGAUCUGGCUGUAAGGUCCGACCACCUUCUUCAGCACCUCAUACCGGAAAUUGAGAUGAUCAUGGUGUUUGUCAGUGUGCAGACUUUGUAUGUUCUCCACUUGUUACGUGCCCUGAGGAGAGCCGUACCGAGACAUAAUGGUUGUAGACAUCAUCGUAGCCAUGGUUCUGGGUGCCAAAGCCUUUGUUAUGGACGCCGAAAUACCAGAUGUUAUUCACGGUGAGGACCUCGCUUCUCUCGGUGGGGGUCAGGAAAUCCCCAAAGAGCUUCAAGAUUUCUGCAAACAUAAGAACAAUGAUGAUGAUUAAUACUGUACUAUUGUUUUAAUAUUGUUUUGUUAAAUAAAACGUUUUCGUUUCUUUAA